GACGAACGCUGGCGACGUGCUUAACACAUGCAAGUCGAACGGUGAAGCUCCAGCUUGCUGGAGUGGAUCAGUGGCGAACGGGUGAGUAACACGUGAGCAACCUGCCCCUGACUCUGGAAUAAGCGCUGGAAACGGCGUCUAAUACUGGAUACGAGAAGGGUCCGCAUGGGCACUUUCUGGAAAGUUUUUCGGUUGGGGAUGGGCUCGCGGCCUAUCAGCUUGUUGGUGAGGUAAUGGCUCACCAAGGCGACGACGGGUAGCCGGCCUGAGAGGGCGACCGGCCACACUGGGACUGAGACACGGCCCAGACUCCUACGGGAGGCAGCAGUGGGGAAUAUUGCACAAUGGGCGAAAGCCUGAUGCAGCGACGCCGCGUGAGGGAUGACGGCCUUCGGGUUGUAAACCUCUUUCAGCAGGGAAGAAGCGAAAGUGACGGUACCUGCAGAAGAAGCACCGGCUAACUACGUG
rnacentral:rRNA from 1 species